rnacentral:rRNA from 1 species
UACGUAGGGCGCAAGCGUUGUCCGGAAUUAUUGGGCGUAAAGAGCUCGUAGGCGGCUUGUCACGUCGGGUGUGAAAGCCCGGGGCUUAACCCCGGGUCUGCAUUCGAUACGGGCAGGCUAGAGUUCGGUAGGGGAGACUGGAAUUCCUGGUGUAGCGGUGAAAUGCGCAGAUAUCAGGAGGAACACCGGUGGCGAAGGCGGGUCUCUGGGCCGAUACUGACGCUGAGAAGCGAAAGCGUGGGGAGCGAACAGG